AACGUAGGAGACAAACGUUAUCCGGAGUUACUGGGCGUAAAGGGCGUGUAGGUGGUUUCGUAAGUCUGGCGUGAAAUUUUUCGGCUUAACCGGGAAAGGUCGUCGGAUACUGCGGAACUAGAGGACGGUAGAGGCGUGUGGAAUUCCGGGUGUAGUGGUGAAAUGCGUAGAGAUCCGGAGGAACACCAGUGGCGAAGGCGACACGCUGGGCCGUACCUGACACUGAUGCGCGACAGCAUGGGGAGCAAAUGGG
rnacentral:rRNA from 1 species